ensembl:lncRNA novel transcript
ACAGUACUCCCAGCUAUAGCAAGCGGCAGUUAUGGAGCAUGCGCAGCAGCAGGGGCGGCCGCAGGUCGCCGUUCAAUAAUACUCAAGGGAUUUGUACAGCCCUGUAGGAGACACCUCCAGAGAAAGUAACAGCUCUCAAUUGAUUAGCUGAGAAGCCUCAGGGGCUGGAUCCUGACAUGAACCAGACACCUCCAGAAUUCUAUCCCAAGCAAAAGAUUAUUUCAAGGCCAGAACUCACUCCCUGCUGGAGACUGACUACAAGAUCCACUGAGAUUGAUGUGUAACCUGAUUGGGCCCACAGUGAUGCUAGCCCCUUCACCAGAUGGAACAAUAAUUCCAGACAAGCCAUCAGAGCAGGUCACACCACUUGACACCUUCUCGCCCCCUUGCCUCUCCUGCAUUCCAAACCCCUCUCUUUAAAAUCCCCAUGUUCCCUCCGUAAACUGGGCAGUGCCAAUUGUUGGAAAGAAUUCUGGCACUCUUUUCCUUCUUAGCAUGGAUAAAAAGAUUCACCCUCUUUUUAUCACACCUCACUCUUGUUAUUUUGGCUUCUUUCUACAAGUGGUGAGCAACCGGGCCCCCUUUGCUGGUUAUAGUAUGAACUAUUUUAUUUUUUUUAAUCUACAAUAAAAUAAAAUACAUUCAUUAGAUUUCAAAGUGGUGUUUAAUGGUUUAAGAAAAACUAGUUUUACAUUUGCAACUUGAAUAUAUUAGAUAUUAUUAAAAGCACCACAAUUGUUAAGUACUGCAGUACCUUUUCAUCUUUGAAAGCCCUUUAGAACAUUUGAAAACUCCACUGGCAUAGUUGAUACCUUUCUGGCUGUCUUUUCCCACUCCCCAUUGGGAGCACCUACCAUAAUAUUGAUAGAGUCAGGAGACAGGGAAAUUCUUAGCAGAAGAGGGUGGGUAUCUGGUGAGGGCCCCACUCUCAAGCCUGGAACCUGGCCCAAAGUGUGAACAUGCAUUCCUGUUUUCCUGCUCAAAUGUUGCCUUUUCCAAAACCACCCAUGGCCUGCCCCACCCCCAUCCUGUGCCCAUAAAAACCCCAGUCUCCACCAGCAGAGAGCAGAGAAGAGGAGAAGCAGCUGGAUGUCAGAGACUGCAGUUUGACGUUGGAGAAAAGCAGCUUGACUUCAGAGGGACAGCUUGACAGCAUGGAUUCAGAGAGGAGAAGAUCACCUUCCUGCUCCGUCCCCUUUCCAGCUCCCUUUCCCACUGAGAGCCACUUACACAGGCAAUAAAAUCCUCUGCAUUCACCACCCUUCAA